rnacentral:lncRNA from 1 species
GGAAGGGUUCCUGUAAAGUUUAAAUGAAAAAUGAUGAAUAUAGUCCACCUCUGAUACAAACCAUACAGAAAAGUAAGAAAUUAUACCCUAUGUUAUGUUAGGAGAUGUAUGUUUUAUUUACCUGGUUUAGAGGUAGAAAAAUCCAUGUCCCCAUCCACAGAAGGAGUUAAUAAAGUAUUCCAAAUGCAUGGCCUAAAAAAAAAAAAAAAAAAAAAAAAAACUCAGGGUAGUUUUAUGUUUUAUUGUUAACCCUUUGCAUGAAGUCUUCUGCAGCUGAAAGGAGAAAGCAAAGGGCUUUUGUGUUAGUUGAUCCUAGGCUAUUCUGGGGCUCAGGUUGAUGUGAAAGGGAUGAGGCGGUCACUUGAAAUCUCCUUUUAUCUACUCUUAUUUUCUCUCUGGAUCAGCAACUUUGAAUAGACAUCAUCUAAUCGCUCUUAAUGGAAAGAAACUACGGGAGCAACACAAAUGCCUUUGCUCCAGAAGCGAAUACACGCCUGUGGCAGCUAGCUGAGCUUACAUAGGACUGCAUCUCUGCAUACAUGAGCUUAGGGCAUGGGGGGGGGGAGCAAAUGCACACUAUAUGUAUGUGUCUCAUACGCUGAGGGAUUCUGUUGCUCUUCGUGUAUAUGUGUGUACAACACAUGCACAUUUUAAUUGGAGAGCACAUUGGGUGAUACUUUUAACUGGUCUUCCCUUAAGCUUUUCCUUGCACUCAAUUUCUGGCCACAUUUCAGCAUUAUAAAAGCACAAGUCCAUGAGAACUCAAUUGUCAGCCUUUAAAAAAAAAGUCACCUUAUUUCCUUUCUGUUUUCAGGCAGAAGUCAUCUAGUAGAAAGGUUUCUCCUAGAGUGAGGCUGCUCUGACAGCCGGGAUGCAGUGGUACCAAGCUUUACUUUCAAUUUCUCUUGCUUCAAAUUCGAUUAGACAAUAAAUAAGUGGGAAGCAGGAGCCCAACUCAAAGUUGCUUAAAACUUUUUCCUCCUUUACAUUUAUAUCUCUAAAUCCUUGAAACUGAUAAUUGUUUACAAAUUAUUAUUUUGAAAUUAGAAAUAUUUUAGUAAGACUCAGACUGACUCAAAUAGGACUCAGUGUGCCUUCCUUUUGGUUUGCUACAUUUACUUUUAAAAAGAAAUAUGAAUAGCUAUCCAGAAAGGGACAUUUGCUUCCUAGGACUGAAAGCAAUGGCCCUUUCCCCUUCUUAGGAAGCACCCCCUUCAUGUUCUUCUAAGCAGAAUUCUAAGCCGAGGACACUGCUAUAAAUUCCAUUAGGGGAAGGCUCUGUUACCAGGGCUACAGGUUCUCAUGUCAACCUGCCAGCCUCUCUGCUCCCUGAUAUAGAUACCCUUGGCUGUAGAGGCUGGGAGCUCCAGCGGCCCUUCUGCUACCGGCCUGCUGAGAUUGCAGCUCAAAAGUUGGAGGCUGGGUGGGGGCAGAAUAAUCUCUCUUUAACGCCUCUCUUUCCCGCCCAGGAUUUUGAACCCCAACUGACAUAUUUCCUCGGGUUUUUCUGAUGAAUAGAAGCACAGGAGCAACCCUGUCCACUAAAGAUUAAAUGAAGUAGAAGAAGCUUAGCCGUGGAUACUUGGAAGUACUGGUGGGGUGUCAAACCAACGUUUAACACAUUGUUUCCACUCAAUGUGCAUAUAUCCUGGACCGAUUGGGUUUAAUUUCAG